CAUUGAAACACCGGUUCUCGUAUGAUCACCGAAGUUAAGCAAUGUUGAGCCUGGUCAGUAACUAGACGAGUGACCACUUGGGAAUACCAGGUGCU